rnacentral:rRNA from 1 species
UUUUAUGAGAGUUUGAUCCUGGCUCAGGACGAACACUGGCGGCGUGCCUAAUACAUGCAAGUCGAACGCUUCUUUUUCCACCGGAGCUUGCUCCACCGGAAAAAGAGGAGUGGCGAACGGGUGAGUAACACGUGGGUAACCUGCCCAUCAGAAGGGGAUAACACUUGGAAACAGGUGCUAAUACCGUAUAACAAUCAAAACCGCAUGGUUUUGAUUUGAAAGGCGCUUUC